rnacentral:rRNA from 1 species
GACGAACGCUGGCGGCGUGCCUAAUACAUGCAAGUCGAACGCUUCUUUCCUCCCGAGUGCUUGCACUCAAUUGGAAAGAGGAGUGGCGGAUGGGUGAGUAACACGUGGGCAAUCUGCCCUAAAGACUGGGAUACAACUUGGAAACAGGUGCUAAUACCGGAUAACAACAUGAAUCGCAUGAUUCAAGUUUGAAAGGCGGCGUAAGCUGUCGCUUUAGGAUGAGCCCGCGGCGCAUUAGCUAGUUGGUGGGGUAAAGGCCGUACCAAGGCAAUGAUGCGUAGCCGAGUUGAGAGACUGAUCGGCCACAUUGGGACUGAGACACGGCCCAA